CAGAGGCGGCACCAAGGACCCGCUUACAAAAGAGGCACACACGGCAUCGGCAGCGGCAGUCGGCGACGGAGUUGUAUGCAGACAAUAACCACCUGACUCUGCAGCGGCCUCGUCCCAAAAAAGCUUGAAAUAUCCGUUGUUCGGCCUAUAUACAAGAAAGCUACACGGGUCAACAAGUACCGGUUACGUACUGGCGCCGGAUCGCAAAAAGCCUGCUACGCCAAACUCCCUGACAACGGUAGCGGCCGUGCCCGUCCGCUGUCAUAAGGCAAUUGGCUCUUCGCCGAAGGAUUCUCGCCCGCAGCUGCCGCCGUUGCCCACCGGAGAGACGACAGAACUCGGCGUCGUUUUGCGCUCGUAACCUCGAUGAGCGACCAUACAGGAUCGAAGACUUCAAUCCUACCCACACUGGUCUUCACAUCAACCGUAAACGGUGACCUCAAUCCAAACUGAAAGCUUAGAACCUUAGACAAAACAAACAACAAAACGAACACACGAACCCACUUCAU
rnacentral:lncRNA from 1 species